rnacentral:tRNA from 2 species
CGGACUGUAGCGCAGUCUGGUAGCGCACUUGCAUGGGGUGUAAGGGGUCGCUGGUUCGAAUCCAGUCAGUCCGACCA